GCUGGUCCUCUGGGAGGGGAAGGCCAGGGCUGACCAAGGUCCCCCUCUGGGUCCCACCUGCCACACCACCUUCUCCCUAGGUCUUGAGGAUACCCCCAAGUUUGAAGCUUGGCUUUAUGGAUGAUUGGAGGUGGGGUGGGCUGAAAUUACAGAUGCGUUUGGGGUGCUCUUAUAUGACAGGGACCCAAAGGUUCCAUGAGCUUUUCAGAGGGCAGCAACUGAAGGCUAGGAAUGAGGCCUCCUGUGCCCUUCAGGGUCUGUUCCACACACUGGUUGAGACCCACUGGGUGCCAGAUGCAUGCCAAGUCCUAGGUUUGCAGCCAGGAACUAGGACCUCCCGGAGGAACAGGUCAUUCAUUAUAGGUGCUGGGGCUGGGAAGGGAUGACAAGGGGGCCCAAUAGGGCUGGGGUGUCAAGACUUCAUGGGUCCAUGGGCACCUAGUUGCCCUGCACCCCAUCUCCUCAUUUCCAGAACCUGCCUUGCUGGUGUGGCCCUUCCUCAUUCUCUUCCCAGAACCACAGUAAACAGUGCUGAAAACAGGCUUGUGGGGGUGCGCCAACUGCACCCCCACUCUCACCAAGGCAAUAGAGCUCCGAGGGACCCAGAGGUGUUCCAUGUGGGCAGCCUAAAAUUUUGAGUCUGUUUGCCUUGUGUGAGAACAACCGGCAGGAUUGAGCUUGCUGUGCUGUUUACCUAUAGUGUGAUGCACUUCUGUGCACCUCUUGCUUUCCUGUGGUGUGUUCCCCUCUCCAACAAGAACUGAUUGCAUCCCUCUCUAGCCAGGCACUGCACCAGAGCUGGAGACGUGCCAGAGAGGCUUGGGCCUCGUGAAGCUCACAGUCUGGAGGAAAAAGGGGACAGUGGAAUUAAGGUCUAGAGCUGGGACAUAGCUCAGCCGGGGAGUACUCGGUGAGCACACGCAAGGCCCUGAGUUCAAAGAAUGAAAUAAGCAAGG
rnacentral:lncRNA from 1 species